CAGCAGCCGCGGUAAUACGAAGGGUGCAAGCGUUAAUCGGAAUCACUGGGCGUAAAGCGUGCGUAGGCGGUUUGUUAAGUCUGUUGUGAAAUCCCCGGGCUCAACCUGGGAAUGGCAAUGGAUACUGGCAAGCUAGAGUGUGUCAGAGGAUGGUGGAAUUCCCGGUGUAGCGGUGAAAUGCGUAGAGAUCGGGAGGAACAUCAGUGGCGAAGGCGGCCAUCUGGGACAACACUGACGCUGAGGCACGAAAGCGUGGGGAGCAAACAGGAUUAGAUACCCGAGUAGUCCCUGUCUCUUAUAC
rnacentral:rRNA from 1 species